rnacentral:rRNA from 1 species
AGAAUCAACGCUGGCGGCGUGCCUAACACAUGCAAGUCGCACGAGAAAGGGUAGCAAUACCUGAGUGCAGUGGCGCACGGGUGAGUAACACGUGACUAACCUACCUCCGAGUGGGGAAUAACUGAGAGAAAUCUUAGCUAAUACCGCAUAACACUUACGAGUCAAAGCAGCAAUGCGCUUGGAGAGGGGGUCGCGGCAGAUUAGUUAGUUGGCGGGGUAAUGGCCCACCAAGACGAUGAUCUGUA